CCCAGGGAUCACAGCUGCUCAUGGUGAUAAGAUUAUUAGUGUGUCUUUCCCUAUAUAUAUCUGCCUACCUCCACCACUAUUACUACUGCUAGCAUUUCGACUAUCACUAUCUCCAGGACCAAGGAGUAGCAAGAUGGUCAAUGCUGAAAAUUGCCCAGGGAGGUAGGUGCUGUUAUCAUCCUAUUUUACAGAUGAGGAAACCAAGGCAAACAGAAGACAAGUGACUUGCCUGGUCAGAAACAUGGCGGCAGUGGAGGAAGAGGAGAGAAGAGCAUGAAUGGUAUUGGCUCACAAAAUGGUGAAGAACAUUGGAAGAGGAAAAUGAGUCUUUAGAAAGCUUGAUAUCUCCUGACAACUAGUACCUGCCCACUCUUCAAAUCUUGAGGUUCACUCCACUCCAAAAAAUAAAAAAUGAGAUGCUUAAUGGUAUAUAAUUUAAAUGGCCAAAGGAAAAAGAUAAACAUGCAAUCAUUACAGAAACAAAGGACCAUGGGUGUCCCCCUCCCCAUUGCCUAUAACACUGAACUGGGUGGAAGUGCUAUUUAGUUGAAUUUUUAAAAAAAUCUUUGUAAUGAGGAAUAGCUUUCUAAGAGGGGAUAAGAUGCAUUGGGAAAUUAAAGUGACAUAAAAAAAGACAUCAAUAGAUAUUUUUAAAAGCAAAAAAAAAGUUAUAGUAUUAUAGGACCUUAAAUAGAAAGAUUCUUAGGAACGAGCUAGUGUCCAUUGUCCUCAAUUUAUAAAGGGGGAAUUUGAAAUUUAGAGAAGAGAUUUGAACUUGGGGUACUUAAUGUUGAGGGGGGGAAGUCACC